rnacentral:rRNA from 1 species
AUACGGAGGGGGUUAGCGUUGUUCGGAAUUACAGGGCGUAAAGCGCACGUAGGCGGACUGGAUAGUUGGGGGUGAAAUCCCGGGGCUCAACCUCGGAACUGCCUCCAAAACUUCCAAUCUAGAGAUCGAGAGAGGUGAGUGGAAUUCCAAGUGUAGAGGUGAAAUUCGUAGAUAUUUGGAGGAACACCAGUGGCGAAGGCGGCUCACUGGCUCGAUACUGACGCUGAGGUGCGAAAGCGUGGGGAGCAAACAGGAUUAGAAACCCUUGUAGUCC